ACUCCAAUCUCAGAUCCGAGAAUCGAAGACAAAGCUUAAGAUGAAAUACCUGUGUGUUGCUGUUUUUAUCGCCCUCGUGGCUUACACCCAUGCCGGUCUCCUGGGAGGCUACUAUGGUGGAUAUGGAGUACCCCACGUAGGUUUUGGUGUCGGACACGCUGCCAUCGCACCUAGCUUUGUCGCCCGGGGCUUCCCCGUUGGUCGUGCUGCCUCCCAUGUGACUCAUGUUAAUCACGGUGGCGUAGGCCUUGGCGGUUUCGGUCACGGAUUUGGAGGAUUUGGCUAUGGACUUGGUCUCGGUUAUGGAGUGGGUGGUUACGGCUAUGGGCUAGGCGGUCUCGGCGGUGUCGGCUAUGGACUAGGUGGUCUCGGCUACGGCUACGGUCACGGUCUCGGAGUAGCCAAGCUCCACUGAAGGCGUGAUUGUCUGACCUGCUGUGAACUCUGGCGGUAUUUCCGUCUGACGUAAAAAGUAAUAAAUUCACGAGACGGAUGUCAUCCCGAUUUUUUGUUUAAUUCAAGAAAAAAUGUAUAUAUAACGUUUAUUGUAUUGGA